rnacentral:rRNA from 1 species
UGCAUCGAUGAAGAACGCAGCCAGCUGCGAUACGUAAUGUGAAUUGCAGAAUUCAGUGAAUCAUCGAAUCUUUGAACGCAAAUUGCGCUUCAGGUUUUACUGGAGCACGUCUGCCUGAGUGUCAUUCUAACACAUACUCAAUGCACAGCAUCGCUGUGGGUUGGCAGUGCGGCGAUUGCGAGCACAGAUUUGUGCUUGCAGGGCUGUUAAAUGUGGUGAAUACAUACAACCAUGGACGGUACCAACGGAACCGACCGCAGAGCUAUACAUUGGUGUGGCAAAGCAAGUCUUUCGGGGCAUUGCAACAACUUCAUCAAGGUGUCUGUGGGAGGGACUUAAGGACAACGCCGGCCGAACGGAAACUAACACUUUCAACCAUGACCUCAGAUCAGUCGAGACUACCCGCUGAAUUUAAGCAUAUCAAUAAGCGGAGGA